GACAGAGGCCUCAAGCGUUUAGGCGGAAUCACUGGGCGUAAAGGGCGCGUAGGCGGCCUUCUAAGUCGGACGUGAAAGCCCCAGGCUUAACCUGGGAACUGCGUCCGAUACUGGGAGGCUUGGAUUCGGGAGAGGGAUGCAGAAUUCCAGGUGUAGCGGUGAAAUGCGUAGAUAUCUGGAGGAAUACCGGUGGCGAAGGCGGCAUCCUGGACCGGCAUUGACGCUGAGGAGCGAAAGCCAGGGGAGCAAAGCGGG
rnacentral:rRNA from 1 species